rnacentral:rRNA from 1 species
ACGAACGCUGGCGGCGUGCUUAACACAUGCAAGUCGAACGAUGAAGCCGGAGCUUGCUCUGGUGGAUUAGUGGCGAACGGGUGAGUAACACGUGAGUAACCUGCCCUUGACUCUGGGAUAAGCGUUGGAAACGACGUCUAAUAUCGGAUACGAGCUGGGACCGCAUGGUCACCAGCUGGAAAGAAUUUCGGUCAAGGAUGGACUCGCGGCCUAUCAGUUAGUUGGUGAGGUAACGGCUCACCAAGACGACGACGGGUAGCCGGCCUGAGAGGGUGACCGGCCACACUGGGACUGAGACACGGCCCAGACUCCUACGGGAGGCAGCAGUGGGGAAUAUUGCACAAUGGGCGCAAGCCUGAUGCAGCAACGCCGCGUGAGGGACGACGGCCUUCGGGUUGUAAACCUCUUUCAGCAGGGACGAAGCGUGAGUGACGGUACCUGCAGAAGAAGCACCGGCUAACUACGU